CGGCAUAUUUAUCGUCACACUGGAAACGUCAGAAACGAGGCAUAGCAAACGAGGCAAACGGCGACGGCGACAGCAACUUAGAAAAGCAUAAACGGAGAAGAGAGUUGGAGAGUUUCGGGCAGCCCAGGGCGUGUGAUAGCAACUGCAAUAAGUGCUAAAUAGAUUAAUCCCGAGACACAGUGACAUCGCAAGCAGCAAAAUGAGCGGCGGAGGCAUGGACAAGAGAAAACUCUCCACAUCGGGGGACUCGCUGUACGAGAUCCUGGGACUUCCGAAGACUGCCACCGGAGACGAUAUCAAGAAGACUUACCGGAAGCUGGCACUCAAAUACCAUCCGGACAAGAACCCCGACAACGUCGAUGCUUCCGAUAAGUUCAAGGAGGUAAACCGGGCGCACUCGAUUCUGAGCGACCAGACCAAACGCAAUAUCUACGACAACUAUGGCUCCCUGGGACUGUAUAUAGCCGAGCAGUUCGGCGAGGAAAAUGUGAAUGCAUACUUUGUGGUCACAUCGCCGGCGGUGAAGGCCUUGUUUAUCUGCUGCGCAGUGGUCACCGGCUGCUGCUGCUGUUGCUGCUGCUGCUGCUGUUGCAACUUCUGCUGCGGCAAGUUCAAGCCGCCGGUCAACGAAUCGCACGACCAGUAUGCACAUCUGAACCGCCCCGAUGGCAAUCGAGAGGCUAGUGAUCUGCCACCGCACCUGGGACAGCAGCCACGUCUUGAGGACGUUGAUCUGGACGACGUGAAUCUUGGUGCGGGCGGAGGCCCCGUCACCUCGCAGCCACGCGAGCAGUCCGGAGGACAGCCCGUCUUCGCCAUGCCACCGCCCAGUGGAGCAGCUGUGGGCGUGAAUCCAUUCACCGGCGCCCCCGUGGCGGCCAACGAGAACACGUCGCUGAACACCACAGAGCAGACAACAUACACGCCAGGUAUAUAAAGAGUCGAGCCAGCCAGCCAGCAGUCGGGGUCGAAGGUGGCAAGUGGCAUAGAAACGUAUCCCUAAAGCGUCUUUGACCAUCGAACUUGUUAAAUAUAUGGUUAAUCAAAAAUAUUAGGCGAGCCCAAGCCCCCUGUGCAUGCUUACGUUUCAGAUAUAGACACAGACACAUAAACAGAAACAGAACAGAAGAAAAGUUAAGCAGAGCAAAAGCUGAUUUAUUUGAUAACUAUUAGAAUUGUUUUUAAGAUGAGUGCCCGUUAUGUUGAAACGAGAAAACAUAUAACUUAUGUAUUACUGUAAGCUGUAGCACUUAACUCUAAUUUUAAAUAAUUAUACUUUGAGGCGGCGCUGCCAGCUUCCAAUUAAUGCAAAUGCAGAUGCAGAUGCCGAUGCCGAUGCCAGUCAGGGUUGAUUUUGGUCCAUAAUUCGUGUAACCGUUUCAUCAUUUCCAUUGUUCAGGCCAGGCCCCUCAGGUCUGCACCCGUGUACGCAUAGAUAUACAUAUAUACCAUACCUACAUAACAUACAACUCGAAACGAGAGCGCACCAAUAAUAUACAUACUAUAAAGAGUACGAGUAUAGUAAUUCGAUUCAAUUGUAUGCCGAUAGUUUAUCAAAUCAGAUCUAUGAAAUAUGUAUCUAAAAAUUUGCUUAGGAAAAGGACAGCGGAUCGCCCUCCUUCCUGCGUAGCUCCGUGAAUCGUAUUGUGUGUUUUAACCGAACCAAACCAAACCGAAUCGAAUCGAAUUGAUUCGACUCGACUCUACAGAAUUCAACGUGGAAGGAGGCACCUGUAAUUAUAUAUAUAUGUAUGUAAAUGAUAUAUGUAUAUUAGUUUGCAUUUGUGUCGUUGCCUAGCCUUCGGUUAGCUAAAUUGUUCUGGAAUUUUCCUCUUCACCGAUUGUUUCUGUUUCGCACCAAAUUGUUAAUGAAUUAACUUAUGUAAAGCAGACAGAAUAUAACCUAUUGCAGCUGUCGAUCGGUGAGCGGUGGCGGGUCGAGAGUAGAUUGCUCAGAUCCGACCCGACCCGAUCCGAUCCAAAUGCAAAUGUAAAUAAGUCAAGUUAAACAAUUAAGCAUCACACACCAGACAAACAGAGGAGGAAGAUGAGGAGGAGAAGACGAUGAAAGGCGACACGUAAAGGAAUAUAUAAACUAUAAUAAUAGCCUCCCUCUUUAUACAUAUAUAAAUAUAUAUAUAUAUAUUUAAUACGAGUAAUCAAAAGUUAAAUUGUAACCCCCCAAAAGUAUUGCACAUAUGUAUGUAUUCUAUAUUCUUUCCAAAUUGAAUUGCAAUUCCUGUUUUUUUUUUUGUGUGUCAUUUUUGUUGUUAAACCGCUUUUAAAUGUAAAUGAAUGCGAUUAGUCCAGCAAGAAUUAAAUUUUAUAUACAAUACUUGGUAGCCCCUUUAUUCUAACCCUCUAACCCCUUGAUAUCAAUUCAAUUAUGGCGGAGUCAGAGCAAGUAGCCCCCGCAGUGGCAGGGAUCGCUGAAACUCCCUCGAUCCAGGCUCUGUGCCGACCUCCAGAAAGGAUCGAUGGGGGUCUGCUCUUCUGGUCUAUACAUAGUAUAACAUGCAUACAUAUAUGAAAUUCAAUUAAUGAUAAUUACAUUUUACGGAUUUGCGUGUGUAUUUAUUGUUCAAGUACAAGUCAAAAGCAAAAGCAAAAACAAAACAAAACAAAAAA